rnacentral:rRNA from 1 species
AACGAACGCUGGCGGCAGGCCUAACACAUGCAAGUCGAGCGCCCCGCAAGGGGAGCGGCGGACGGGUGAGUAACGCGUGGGAACAUACCCUUUGGUACGGAAUAGCCUCGGGAAACUGGGAGUAAUACCGUAUGUGCCCUUCGGACCAAAGAUUUAUCGGCAAAGGAUGAGCCCGCGUAGGAUUAGGUAGUUGGUGGGGUAAAGGCCUACCAAGCCGACGAUCCUUAGCUGGUCUGAGAGGAUGAUCAGCCACACUGGGACUGAGACACGGCCCAGACUCCUACGGAGGCAGCAGUGGGAAUAUUGGACAAUGGGCGAAAGCCUGAUCCAGCAAUGCCGCGUGAGUGAUGAAGGCCUUCGGUC